ensembl:lncRNA
UUUUUUCUCUCCUUUUCCCUUUUUUCUCUCUUUUCUUCUUCCCCCCUUCUUCCUUUCUUCCCCCCUCAUGGUGUGCGAGUGUGCCCCAGCUUGAGCGCUAGCUGCCGACUGCAAGGCCAGCUAAAUGUUUCAGCUUCAGUCAAUCACGUCCGCAGAUUCUAAAACAAUUGGAGCCAAUCACGUUCGCACAGUCGAAAACAUUUCACCAAUCACGGCAGAAAUCCUGGAGAGCGACGUCAGGCACACGGCAGAAAUUCUGGAGGGCGACGUUACAUUGCUUACGCUAGACCUGAGGGGGCGGGUAAUUCAAAGAGUGAAGCUAGCCGGAUGCUUAAGGAAUCAACCGAGGCAGAUUAUCGACAUGGUGUCAAACCCCCGUAUCGGGGUGGAGUCGUUGCUGGUGACGGUCAUCAGAAAAGCACCAGCCCAGCAGAAGGCAGGGAGAGCCAGAGUCUGGCCGGGGAAGUGCUUCAGACUCUAGACAGAGAAGGCCUACAAGACAUAAAUGCAGGUAUAACACGCACGCACAGACACACGCACAUACCCAGGCCAGGACGCACAGACACACACAAGCGGGCACGCACAGACACACGCACAUACCCAGGCCAGGACGCACAGACACACACAAGCGGGCACGCACAGACACACGCACGCACAGACACACGCACAUACCCAGGCCAGGACGCACAGACACACACAAGCGGGCACGCACAGACACACAGGCAGGCACGCCGCACAGACAGACAGACAGACAGACAGACAGACAGACAGACAGACAGACAGACAGACAGACAGACAGACAGACAGACAGACAGACAGACAGACAGACAGGCCACGCCACGCCACGCCACGCCACACAGACGUAGGCAGGCACAAGCAGGAACGGACACACAGACGCACGCACGCUCGCACACCUCAACUCUCUACACAGAGAAGGCCUAAAAGACAGAGAUGCCGGUAGAACACAUGCACACACACUGCUCAACACUCUCCAGCUACCAGGCAAAAGGGAGGUUCUUUCUUCCACCACACUGGUCAUUUAGUUUGUCACUGGAUCUCCCAACUUAAUGGCGUUUGGGCUGCUCUAAGUGUUUGUUUGUUUGUAUUGUGUCCCUCUAGUUGGAAAUUCCUCGUGGAGGAGAGCUGCGCGUCAUCGGAGUGCUACUUGGGAGCGUUCCUGGUGGAUGGACCAGCGCAGAACCGUCUCCACGCUUGAAAGUGACAAAGCGGGUCCCUGCCACACUGGCCGGUAGCGACUUGCUGUCUGGAUUGUAUACUGGAUUGGGAUGACUCCUCUUUGGUGUGGGUUGAUCUAUUGCAGUGUUUUUUUUUCUGUGGAUUCUAUAUGUGGGGCGUGGUUUAAGUAUUGCAAACUGAUAAUACCUUUUGGGGGGAAGGCAUGUAUCUUGCUUUUGUGUGGACAUUGUGUGGGGGUUUUCAUGUUAGACAUGGUUGGUGGGGUUAGUGGGGUUCUAUGUACAGUGAAUCUGUGCCUACAGUCCUGUAUCCAGUCUGCUUGUGGCAAAUAAACAUUUGUAUAACCAUUUCUGAUUCUGAGUG